rnacentral:rRNA from 1 species
AAUGAACGCUGGCGGCAUGCCUAACACAUGCAAGUCGAACGAGAAGGUACCUUCGGGUACUGGACAGUGGCGCACGGGUGAGUAACAUGUGGGAACCUACCAUUCAGUAAGGAACAACAGUUGGAAACGACUGCUAAUACCUUAUACGCCCUUCGGGGGAAAGAUUUAUCGCUGAAUGAUGGGCCCGCACUAGAUUAGAUAGUUGGUGAGGUAAUGGCUCACCAAGUCUACGAUCUAUAGCUGGUUUGAGAAGAUGACCAGCCACAUUGGGACUGAGACACGGCCCAG